GAUGAACGCUGGCGGCGUGCUUAACACAUGCAAGUCGAACGGUGAACACGGAGCUUGCUCUGUGGGAUCAGUGGCGAACGGGUGAGUAACACGUGAGCAACCUGCCCCUGACUCUGGGAUAAGCGCUGGAAACGGCGUCUAAUACUGGAUACGAGACGUGAUCGCAUGGUCAACGUCUGGAAAGAAUUUCGGUUGGGGAUGGGCUCGCGGCCUAUCAGCUUGUUGGUGAGGUAAUGGCUCACCAAGGCGUCGACGGGUAGCCGGCCUGAGAGGGUGACCGGCCACACUGGGACUGAGACACGGCCCAGACUCCUACGGGAGGCAGCAGUGGGGAAUAUUGCACAAUGGGCGCAAGCCUGAUGCAGCAACGCCGCGUGAGGGAUGACGGCCUUCGGGUUGUAAACCUCUUUUAGCAGGGAAGAAGCGAAAGUGACGGUACCUGCAGAAAAAGCGCCGGCUAACUACGUGCCAGCCGCCGCCGUAA
rnacentral:rRNA from 1 species